GGCGCUGUGGCGCAGUGGGUUAACGCCCUGGCCUGAAGCGCCAGCAUCCCAUAUGGGUUCAAGACCCGGCUGCUCCA
rnacentral:tRNA from 1 species